CCUAAACGGUUUUUACCCCUUGUGUGCAAAACGGUCCGUUACAACCAUGUUCAGCUGGUAUACAACGCCAGUAAAACUUUUUAGAAUGCGUAAAACCGUUACAGAUGAGUGUUGGAGGCGCUGUGGGGAAAGAGGGACAUAUUUACAUAUGUGGUGGGAAUGCCCAACUAUAAUCAGGUUCUGGAAAUCAGUAGAGAACUUGUUUAAUCGGGUAUUUGAUAGAACUCCCGGGUAUACCUCUUAAAUAGGCCUCUGGAGGGAUGGACCAAGAGAGAACAGAAACUUAUACACAAAAUUACUUUAAGCGCUCGCAGAGUGAUUGCAACUCUUGGUUGACUCCAGGGGGUCCAAUUUUCUCAGGAGUAAUCACCAGGAUCAAGGAGAGCAAACUGAUGGACGAUCUGAUGGCCAGGGUGAAAGUGACCUCUGCAUCUUUCCACAAAAUAUGGGAACCAUGGGAGAACAGCCUAGAGAGAUUGUUAAGAGAUCUGUGGGGCAUACACGCUCUACUGCUGAGGGUGACGGGCGGAGCUGGUCAGCCAAUCCUUAUCUGGGGACACGCGACUGACAAGUCCCUUUGGAACCCUCAGUAACACGGGAGCGACACCUGUCCUUGUUCUGUAUAGCGCUAUGAGGCCCCUCCCCUCUUCCUUCCCCCGUUCCCUUUCCUCUUUCUUCUCUUUCUUUCGUUCCUUUUCCUUACUUUUUUCCCUUCUCUAAAAGGGGACAGACAUGCGCACUGACAGUGUGGACAAGACACAUUGAGGGAGGAGGACAUCAGUGAAAAACUUUAGAUUACAUGAGGCAUGAUAGGUUGAGCAUGACAUAUAGGUCGGGAAUGCAGCGGAUAGUUGUUAUCGGUACUCUCUGGAAGAGCAGAAGGAAGUGUGUAAGGGUCUAUUGGAGAGUAGACACCAGACCGGAAUUAGCCUAGCAUGUGCGGAAGUAUAGUUACGCACCUAGGAUAGAAACUAUGAUCAAUGGAGAGGUAUUUACGACUUCCAGGAGAGGAUAACUCUUUAUGACUGUUAAGUUAUUUGAAAAUUGGUAUACUCACUAAGGAGGUCAACACUAAGACUUCUAAGGGCAAUGUGUUACAUGAUAAUGACAAGCUGAUACACACGUCAUUGAUACUAUUUGUAUGUUCAAAAGGUAACUACAAAAAAAAAAAACCUUGACGGACAGUGAAAAUGUUAACUCCCAGUGUAAAUUAUGCAUUGUCUACUGGAUUACUAUAUGUAACAUAGAUCGUAUGUGAUGCAUGAUGCUUGGCUUAUGAAUAAACCUAACGCUGCGGAC